rnacentral:rRNA from 1 species
GACGAACGCUGGCGGCGUGCUUAACACAUGCAAGUCGAACGGAAAGGCCCUGCUUUUGUGGGGUGCUCGAGUGGCGAACGGGUGAGUAACACGUGAGUAACCUGCCCUUGACUUUGGGAUAACUUCAGGAAACUGGGGCUAAUACCGGAUAGGAGCUCCUGCUGCAUGGUGGGGGUUGGAAAGUUUCGGCGGUUGGGGAUGGACUCGCGGCUUAUCAGCUUGUUGGUGGGGUAGUGGCUUACCAAGGCUUUGACGGGUAGCCGGCCUGAGAGGGUGACCGGCCACAUUGGGACUGAGAUACGGCCCAGACUCCUACGGGAGGCAGCAGUGGGGAAUAUUGCACAAUGGGCGGAAGCCUGAUGCAGCAACGCCGCGUGCGGGAUGACGGCCUUCGGGUUGUAAACCGCUUUCGCCUGUGACGAAGCGUGAGUGACGGUAAUGGGUAAAGAAGCACCGGCUAACUACGUGCCAGCAGCCGCGGUGAUACGUAGGGUGCGAGCGUUGUCCGGAUUUAUUGGGCGUAAAGGGCUCGUAGGUGGUUGAUCGCGUCGGAAGUGUAAUCUUGGGGCUUAACCCUGAGCGUGCUUUCGAUACGGGUUGACUUGAGGAAGGUAGGGGAGAAUGGAAUUCCUGGUGGAGCGGUGGAAUGCGCAGAUAUCAGGAGGAACACCAGUGGCGAAGGCGGUUCUCUGGGCCUUUCCUGACGCUGAGGAGCGAAAGCGUGGGGAGCGAACAGGCUUAGAUACCCUGGUAGUCCACGCUGUAAACGGUGGGUACUAGGUGUGGGGUCCAUUCCACGGGUUCCGUGCCGUAGCUAACGCUUUAAGUACCCCGCCUGGGGAGUACGGCCGCAAGGCUAAAACUCAAAGGAAUUGACGGGGCCCCGCACAAGCGGCGGAGCAUGCGGAUUAAUUCGAUGCAACGCGUAGAACCUUACCUGGGUUUGACAUGGAUCGGGGGUGCUCAGAGAUGGGUGUGCCUCUUUUGGGGUCGGUUCACAGGUGGUGCAUGGCUGUCGUCAGCUCGUGUCGUGAGAUGUUGGGUUAAGUCCCGCAACGAGCGCAACCCUUGUUCACUGUUGCCAGCACGUUAUGGUGGGGACUCAAUGGAGACCGCCGGGGUCAACUCGGAGGAAGGUGGGGAUGACGUCAAGUCAUCAUGCCCCUUAUGUCCAGGGCUUCACGCAUGCUACAAUGGCUGGUACAGAGAGUGGCGAGCCUGUGAGGGUGAGCGAAUCUCGGAAAGCCGGUCUCAGUUCGGAUUGGGGUCUGCAACUCGACCUCAUGAAGUCGGAGUCGCUAGUAAUCGCAGAUCAGCAACGCUGCGGUGAAUAAAUUCCCGGG